rnacentral:lncRNA from 1 species
UGCUGUUUGUGCCUUCAGCUUGUCUCUGCUGGGUUUCAGGGUUUAAGAGGUGUACCAGGAGUGGCAGGUCCUAUAGGUCCAGCAGGACACAAUGGUCUGCCAGGAAGACCAGGAGAGAAGGGAUCACCAGGAGAGCCUGGAAAGGCUGCAGACCUCUCAGACCUGAACCUGAAGGUAAGACCAUCACAUUUCUGAGAGAUAAAAGCUCCAGGUGGUGAUCACUGGACCGACUGCAUUGCUGUUUUCAGGAUGUUUGCUCAGACUGCCCAGCCGGCCCACCUGGACCACCGGGAAGUGCCUGGAGAUAAAGGACACCAGGGACCUCCAGGGAAAAACGGCCAAGACGGAUACCAGGUCGGACCAAGUCUUUAACUCGAAGACUCCCGAUGUUUUCUGUGAAGCUCAGUCUUUCAGGGAAGCUCUGAAUAAUGUUUAAGUUGUGUUUUUGUACAUUUGGGGGGGUUGAAGCCUGACCUUUGACCUCAUGCUUCACAGCCUGAGUGAUGGACGGUGAGGCUCUGGCUGCAUCAUUACCUGGGCCCUCCAGAGGGCAGUGGUGAGCGAUUGGGCCCCUCUGACAGUCCUGUCUGUUUGAACUAAUGGUUUGCUGUGUCAUUACAGGGUCCACCUGGACUGCCGGGUGCUCAAGGACCCCCUGGAGCUGAUGGAGCAAAGGGCAUAAAAGGUGACCAAGGACCUGCAGGAAACCCAGGAGACAAAGGCGAGAAGGGUCACCCAGGACCUCCUGGACAUCCAGGCCCACCUGGGAUUUUGGGGACACCUGGUAACGAUGGACAGCCUGGCCCAAUAGGAGCACCAGGGCCCCCUGGAGAAAAGGUUAAAGUGUAUUUUAUAUAUACUUUCCUUUUAUAGUUUCUUGCUGUAUUGACUUCUUCAUGCUCAAGCAGCUUUUAACCCUUUCUAUCUG